UCCCGCCGCGGAUCGAGCCGCUGAUUGACGGCGCGCGCGGCCCGGCCGCCAGCGAAUCCGGCGAGGGGGCGGGCGGGGCUGCGCGCGGCCGCUGGCCAACCCGAGGGCGCCUGCCUGCCUCGCGCGCUCGUAACUGACAGCGCGCGGGAAGCCCCCGAUCUGCCGCUUCCCCUGAGACGCGGCCACCCUUCCCCCCCCACUCCCUCUGGCCGCCCAAGGAGCGGGGAGGAGACGCUCCUACGGCUUCCAUAUGGAAGCCGGGGCCUAUUCCCUCCCCCGCCGAGCUACUCCUUUGUAACGGACUCCCGCGCCAGGCCUCUGCCUGCGCGCUGGCUCAGAGGCGGGAGGGGGAAGGGCGGCCCGGGGAUCGCUUCCACACCUGCUGUGUGGGGGCGGGAGCUGUCUCUUCCCUCCCCAUCGGCGCGGUUGCGGAGGCCGGCGCGCGCGGCACGCCGGGAUACGUAGUUCUGGCGGGGAGGGGGCCGGCUGUGGCGGCGGCGGCGCGUGCGCAGCGGGGGCGCGCGGGCGCCGUGUCCGGCAGGUGCCGCCGACGAGAGGCGGGCCGGGGAUCGGGGACGGGCACGGCCGGGCCGGGCUGGGCUGGGCUCGGCUCGGGGAGAGGGGUCGGGCCGGGCGGGGUCAGGUCAGGUCAGGUCAGGUCAGGUCAGCCGGGGUCAACCCGCAACCCUCAGCCUCGCCUCGCUGCAGAUCUACAGAGCGGGAGUCAGUCCCCAGCAGCCUGUGGUGGUCCAGGCUGUCCAUGGUUGGAUUAAAACGAGAUGAAUUGCGAUUGUAUUGUUCGACUCCGAUGCUCGUGCCGAUGUUCCCUGCGGAUCAGGCCCCGCUAUGCGUGACUGGUUCGGAGCAGCGGCUGUGCAAAACUAAGCUGAUCACGGUUGUGGUGUGGUGCAAGAAAUGGUGGAUCAGUAAUACCCAGCUCCCCAUGACAAAGCCUGUUAGCCCUACUCAGAUUUGGAAGAAAAUUGAUUGAAGUGGUGGACGUGUGCAGCUCUGUCAGUUUAAAUUUUCUGUUCUAUGGACCCAAAUUCUUUCUCAAGUGAAUACAGAGCACCUACUAACCUCAAGAUCACCAGUCUGCAAGAUUAUUAGAGGGAUGGAGCACCUCUUCUACAAGGGAAGGCUGAGAGAAUUGGGUUUGUUCAGCCAGGAAAAGAGACCUAUUUGUGACCUUCCAGUACCUGAUGGGAGCCUACAAGAAAGAUGGAGAGGGACUUUUUACAAGAGCAUUUAGUGACAGGAAAAGGGGGAAUGGCGUCAAUCUGAAAGAGGGUAGGUUUAGACUAGAUAUUAGGAAAAAAGUCUUUACUGUGAGGGUGGUGAGGCACUGGAACAUUGUGCCCAGAGAAGUGGUGGAUGCCCCAUCCCUGGAAGUGUUUAAGGCCGGGCUGUAUGGAAUUCUGAGAAGCCUGGUCUAGUGGAAGGUGUGCCCCAUGGCAAAGGGGUUGGAACUAGACGAUUUUUAAGGUCCCUUGCAACCCGGGCCAUUCUAUGGUUCUGUGAUAAGUCAGUGACUCAAGUGACAUUUCUUUACCAGCUGUUCAACAAUUUCAUUCUUCAAAGGGAUGAGGCCACCCUCAGUCUCCAAUCCAGGCCUCCAGCACACCUGGAAGGGAGGAAAUGUAGAAGUACCAUUGUAGAGUAAGAAAGUAAUCAGAAAUAAGCAUGGCACGGGCUGUUUCCAGAUGUCACACACAGGUCACAAGUAGAAAAGGAUCCUACCAAUGCUGAAUAAAUUGUGUUUAUCUGUGGUAAUAUCUGACAGGGCAGUGCCCUCAUAGUCAGUGUACAAUCCCCCACACCCAAGCAGGGCUGAGGUUGUGGCAGGACCUGCAGAUGGUUCAGUGGUUCAGAUGAUCAGGAGAUGGAGGCACAUCCCCCACAGGGCCAGGUCUGGGCCCAGGGCUGAGCCCCACCAGAGCUCCAGCCACGGGGCAGUGGGUGGGGGUCCUAGGUGAGGGUGUUCAGGGCAUCACAGCCUGCUUGUGCCCUCAGGGCUCUUGAGGCAGAGUAUAGAGCACUUCCUGAAUGAGAAGUUGUGUGAAGAAUGGGUGAAGGUACUAUUAAGGUCACUCUUUUUUAUCAAGAGACAGAUGUUUUAAGUCCUAUGACAGCUUUUAAACUUUCACUGGAUUUCCAUCUGAGACUGUAGGUACAGUGCUUUUGAAAAUUUGACUCUAGGGUGCAAAGGGUAAAAACUGUCUCAACUCAGAGAUUGAUUGAAGCAACAGAUAAAAGAUGGUGGUGGUGUAGGUGGUUUCAGUGGGGGCAUCACGAUUUUAAUUUUUUAUUUUUACCAUCCACAGUUACUCGUAUACCACCUACUCUUUCCUAAGUGUCGCUCUUGCUCAAAUUCUUUCUGCCAGCUUAAGCUUUCUGAGUCUGCUUCUUUCAGCAUUGUUCCCACAUGAACUAAUACUUUCCCUCUGCACCCUGAUACCAGUGGGCUUUUGAUAGAAGUGAGCAGUAGUCACCUGUUGAGUUAUAUAAAAAUAGGAUCAGAUCUGAGAAUGUAUGUGUGUUGGCACAGGAGUCCCAACUGCUAUGGGAACAUAUGAAAGAAAAAUAUCAGAAAAGGAAAAAAUAAAGCAAAAAGCUUUUGUCACUGCUUUCUUUCAGGUUCAGAACUUUAAAAGUGUGUUGUCACCCAGGAAGAGAGCACAGCAUGGAAAUGUGUGGGUGAGCAGAGACCCACUGAAAUAGGAGUUUCCUGGCAAGAUGUAACUCUGGCAUAGUAUCACAUGAGGGUGGCUGGUUUGCACAACAGCCCAAACUAAGAAAAUCCACUUAGUGCUGAGUCUCUACUGCUUGGCAUCUCUCACAGUGUGCAUAUAUUUUGUUUAAAUGAAACAGCUUAGCUCAUUGUUUUUGAUAUUUUAAUUAUCCUUUCUCUGUAUCCAUAUGUGUAUUUUCUGUCUCUCAUGUUAAUCAGUUCAACAUUUUGUUUCUGUUUUCCUAGUCUUCUCAUUUUCUUUAUUUUCUCCAGCUCUUUCCUGUGUGAAUGUAAUUGCUUUUCUUGUUCUUUCUACUUUCUUUCCUGGUUCUAAUACCCACUCUUUUCUCCACCUCAAAAAUAUUCUCUCACCCGAGUUCCCUAUCUGUAUUUUGCAUUAUUCCCUCCCCCCUCUGUUUUAGGCUCCCAAACUAUCAUGUAUCUUCUUCUGUGUCCCUUCUGUCUUGCUCUCUAAGCUGUCCUUAGCAUUCGUUGAUUUUUCACCUAACACACUGACCGAUAUUUUCAGACCUGUUUAAGCAUGGUUCUCUAAAGCACAGUGAGGCUUGUAAGGCUGAACGAGCAACACCCAAAUAUCUUUACAAAGGUAGCAUGAAGGGGGAGGGAGAGACAGCUAUCUGCAUGCUCUAGUUUCAUUGGUUACCCUCUCUACUCUCAGGCAGCACUUAUGCAGGUUGUCUUUGGACAGAGAGAGACAAGAGGCUGGCAGCUGCAAACAGCAGAGAUGGUGAUGAGACAGUGGCUUCACAAAACUAUAAGUCCAGUUGUAGGGUACCUUGUAUUAGAUUAAAAAUGCUGCAGCCCUUAAACACAGGGUGCUGAACUUGUGUAAGACCACACUGUUUGACUGAAGCUGAGGUAGUGGUGAGAAUAUUUAAGUAGUACUUUAUCUAAAGGAGUAAUUUUUAUCUGGCAGGACUGUGUAAGAUAAAGUAACAGAUAGCCAUAUUUCUGAACGAAGCUUCUUUGCCAGACCAAAGGUUCUUUUGCCAAUUCUUUCAUGCUCUUUUUGUGCUCCUCAGGCAGCUUUGUCAUGGAACCCAUAUGUUUCCAAGAAAUAUAUGCAAGUUUGGGGUGCAUAUUUUUCCUCUUUUAUUUCUGGUGGUUUUGUUGUAAACUGUCUCAACUCCAUCAACUGCAGCUUUGAAGAACUUGGUGAUGGCAUAGUGUUAUUGACCAGACAGAGCCUGGACCAGAGCCACAGUGGAAAUUGUGUACUUGGCAAGCGUGCUCCUUUGCCAUUGUUCCACAUGAUCCCAAGUGGACCAAGUCACAGGUAUCUGACCUACCUGGAUUCUGUGGAAAACAUCUAUCGACAACACCAUGGGUGCUCAAGGUUCCUGCCUGCCACUUGGCAUCCCUGUGCUCCUCUGGGCUUCUGGAGAUGGCUCUUUGGUGGGCUGACAGCCUCUGUGAUGGACCUAAGGGUAGCUUGACAGGGUAUAAUCUGGGUUCCUCCUCCUUCUGCUGUCUCUCUGAGCAUCUUUCUGGGUGUGCAGAAAAAAAAGUUCCUGACCAGCUCAGCACUUCCCAGCCGCACACACAAGUUAUCCAUUAUUUGCCAGUUCUGCUAUUUGGCUUCUGGGGAGAGGAUGCUUGUGCCAAUAGCUGUGCUGCAGUUUGGGAAGAACCUAUCAAGCUUGCUGAUCUUCUUCAUCAAGUGUCUGAUCUUCUAAUUCCCUAGAAGAAGACCCAAAAAUCUGAAGAAUGUGCUUGCGAUGUGACUUAUCAGUAGAUACCAACACACUCCAGAAAAGUACCACUGAAAGUAUCACUUUAGCAUGGAAAAACCUGCCCUGCCUAUAGAUUUUUUUAGCUCAUGUUUACUCUUAGUGAAGGAACACAGUAGUGUCAGCAAUGAGUGCAAGUGAUCUCACUGGCCAAGAAAGCCUUACUCCUCACGCCCUUGCUCCCUCUCUUCCUUGUCCACAUGUUCCUGUCUCCUCCAGCAGCCAUCCUUCCUUGUUCCAGUUAUAACAGGCUUUACUGUAGGUUGAUGUGACCCACUUCUGACUAAAAGUGGCUCCCAGAAAGACCUCAUUAGCUCUGGAGCUAGCAUGGUGCAAAUGUCAGAGUGUGUGGUUAGUGCUGGGGCAGAAAGGAAGGGCAGGGAGCAGCAUGUUCAUCAGCUGUGGUGGGGUGCUAAUUCAGCUGCCUAGAGCUGCAAAACCAUCCUUCAAAUCUCAACAGUCUGUCUUGCAAACAAAGGCAGUGAAAAUACUAAUCAGUAAGGGUCUAUAAACUGUGGUUAACACUGCUGCUGCAAUUACUAAUGUAGGAAAAACUGGAAGGUAAUGUGAUUCAGGUCUUUCUUCACUGCAGAUAUACCACUGAUAACAGAGUAAUAUGGAGUUGAAACAUAAUUGGAACACUAAGGAAAGCUUGAGCUAUUUAUAGUAUUUAAUAAUUUAAUAGUACAGAGUGCACUGAUUGUAGUACUAUUCAUUUUUCUAUGUAAUUUAAUUAUUAUUUCUCUUUCUUAAUUAAUAAUGCAAGAGUGUGUUUUUGUAUAGCACUUCUUUUCCCUAAUUCUCAUUUUGCACCAGAAUUCAAUCAAGAUCUUAUUGUUCAUAAAAAAUACAUACAUACCUGCAUACAACAUUCUGAAAAGUUGUUUGAGAUUCUACGUGUAAUCUGUGAGAUCCCUGUGAGACUCAUAUAGGGGAUCUUAUCACUAAAUGUUUAUUUCCGGAUCUGUAAGAACCCUUUAAUUUUUUACACUCUUAUUCUCACAACACUCAGGUAAAACAGGAAGUUUUAUUUCUCUGACUACAGCUGGGAUAUCAAAGCACAGAGAUGUUAAAGUCUGUAUUCAAAAACCAUAUUUAAGAGCAUGGAUCCCACUAGCUGACUUGCCUAGAGUGUUAAGAAAAGCCUUUGUGGAACAAGCACUGAACUUACAUCUGCCAAAUCCAAGAGGAUCUUCCUUACUACUGGACUUUGUUUUCUCACUAAGAUUGCAAUAAAUACUUCUUUCAUAGCUGGGUUUAGAGUACUUUAUUGAGUGUGAGGAAAGAUUUUUAUGUAAGGGGAGUUUUGAAUGUAGGUCACAGGAGGACAGAAAGUAUAUAAAAUAGCUGCUGAUGCACAUGAUAGCUUUUAUGGCCAAGGAAAAUAAAAGAUGUAAUGUUUUGGAAAAAGAUAUUAUCCAUGAAAUCCAAAACAAACUUGAAUUAAGUCAGGAGAGAAUAGGCAUUCCUCUGGAAAGAUAAAGGAGGUACUCCAUAGAUUAGCUUAUCAUUGGUCUAGAACAAGUUGUUGCUGUUACUUAGAAAGCCAAUAUGGUGACAGUCUGUGCACCUAUUUGAAAUGUAUAACAUGGAAAAAAUAAAAUAAUCCAUUUAAGGUUAAAUAUAAAAUGUGAAGAAAUAGGAUGCUGUUAUCUUUGUGUUAUAGGCUUGCUUUUCUCUAUUUAUGUUAAAAUAUGUGUGUUUCAGAUAAUUUAUGAAUCUAAUCAUGACUCUAAGUUUUGUAGCUCUAUUUUAUAUGAACUCAGUUUGGUGGAGAUAUUUAGAAGGGACCUGCAUGCAUUUUUUUGUGGCUAAGAAAGCAAAGUUUAAAUGGAAGUGUGUAAAGUGAGGAACGAAUAUUUUCCGAAGGAAUUUACUCUAAUAUGAAAGAAAUUCUUGGUGGGACCUCUGAUUUCCUAUGCUCACUGUAGGAGACCAGCCUAAAGGGGAAAAAAGGUGAAUUCCUAAUACAUGACAUAGACAGAAUAAGCUUUAUUCAGAUAUGCCUUUUUCUGGGAGUUUUAAGUAUCAUAGGUACUUGGGACUUUUAGAUCUGUGCAUGAUCUUCCCCAGCCCUAUAUGUGGUGUGCAGAAACACGCAUGGAUAUGUUGACGUCGCCUUUGAGGUUGGUCCAAAGGUUGACUUCAGGGUCCUUUCUCAGGACGCUCAGAAAUGCUGUCCAUUGGUAGCCCACAGAAUUCAUCAGAAUUACAGAAUCACAGAAUAUGCUGAGUUGGAAGGGACUCACAAGGAUCAUCGAGUCCAACCCUUAGCCCUGUAUAGGACCAUCCCCAAGAGUCACACCAUGUGCCUGACAGUAUCGUCCAAAUGCUCUUGAACUCUGUCACGCUUGGUGCUGUGACCACUUCCCUGGGGAGCCUGUCCCACUAACCAGUCACCCUCUCAGUGAAGAAUCUCUUUCUUACAUCCAACCUAAACCUUCCCUGACACAACUUCAGGCCAUUCCCUCACAUCCUGUCACUGGUCACCACAGAGAAGAGAUCAGGAACUGCCCCUCCUCUUCCCCUCACGAGGAAGUUGUAACUGCAAUGAGAUCUCCCCUCAGUCUCCUCUUCUCCAGGCUGAACAGACCAAGUAACCUCAGCCGCUCCUCAUACGACUUCCCCUCAAGGCCCUUCACUAUCUUCAUUGCCCUCCUUUGGAUUCUCUCUCAUAGAUUAAUAUCUUUCUUAUAUUGCCGUGCCCAAAACUGCACACAAUAUUCAAGGUGAGGCCACCCCAGUGCAGAGCAGAGUGGGACAAUCCGCUCCCUCAACUGGCUGGCAAUACUGUGCUGAGUUUUGUGUCAUCUACAAACUUGCUUAGUAUCCCUUCCAGUCCUGUCUCCAAGUGACUUAUGAAGAUGUUGAAGAGAAUGAGGCCCAGGAUGGAGCCCUGUGGGGCCCCACUAGUGACAGGUCCCCAGUCUGAUGUUACCCCAUUCACUAUUACCCUCUGUGCUCGACCCAUGAGCCUGUUGCUCACCUACCACAUGAUGUGUUUAUCCAGCUGCGGGCUGGAUAUUUUGUCCAGAAGGAUCUUGUGAGAGACAGGAUCAAAAGCUUUACUGAAAUCCAAAAAGAUUAUGUCAAUUGGCUUCCCUUGAUCAACUAAGUGGGUUACCUUGUCAUAAAAGGAAAUCAAAUUUGAUAAGCAGGACUUCCCUCUCAUGAAGCUGUGCUGGCUGUGACUGUGUCAUCUUUCAGGUGUUUUUCAAUACUUCCCUGAAUAAUCUUCUCCAUGACUUUACCAGGCACUGAAGUGAGACUCAGCGGCCUGUAGUUUUGAGGGUUCUCCUUCUUGCCCUUCUUAGAAAUUGGGACAACAUUCCCCAGUUUUCAAUCAUCUGGGAUCUCUCUGGAUUCCCAAGACCGUUCACCAGCUUCAUGCACAGCAAGGUACAAAGAGGUGAAGAACACCUGACUUACAGACUGUAGGAAGCCACUUUCAGAUUCUAUGUGGAUGGCUGCUCUGUGGAUCUCCAAAAUCCUGUAAAUCUCUGAUAUUAUUUUGAUCUAAGUGUAAAGGUUGUUAUAGAUGGACAAAAUACACACUAGUCUUACUUUCCAGAAUAUAGCUUAACUCAACAAACCUAUUUAUAUUUUCAAAAUGUAAUAAUUGACUUUUUAUUUUGUUUUAAUUUUUUAUUAUGACUUUUUAUUAAUGAAACUGAUUUUAUGAAAUGCAUAGUAUAUAGAAAAUUACUAUUUAACUUUUUAUUUUACCAGUUCUAUGAGUAAUGUAUUUUCAAAAAAAUUUUAAUAUAUUCUAUAGAUAUAUGCUGUUUAUAUUUGCUAUAAUAGUAAAUUGUUCUUUUCAGGACAUUCAGAGUAUUUAAUUUAACAAGUGAAAACUAGUUUUAAAUGGCAGAACUGAAGACAGAUAUUAUUAGGUAAUCUUGAAACAACAAAAAUAUUAAAUACAUGCAAAUUGUCAGAAAGUAGCAAUGUAUUUUAAAAAAUGAAAAACAUGUGUUGAACAUAUGCAGUGCUUUUUUUGUUCUUAUACUUGUCCAGGUUAAUACUGUUCCAGCAGUUUUACAAAUAACAAUCUGUUUUCACUGCAUUUCAUCUUUCUUCUUUUCCCCUAGCAAUAUUCCUGGUAAUGCCCACACAAGUAAACACUGACACAUUUGAAUAAAAAAACCCCAGAGGGUGAAUUUUUCCAAGGUGUAUUUCCAUAAGCCCCUUUUCUAACAUCUCACUGUCCCCUGAGAAGGGGAAGUAUUGCUCCUCCUGUGCUCACAGGGCCUCAUUGCACUGUUGGCCCCACACAGUCCUUUCUCUUUCCCUUUCUCUUCUUGCUUUAAUGCUCAUCAGUCCCCUCCCCAAGCCAACUGAACUCACUAUUUAAGAAGAGAAUAUUCUUCUUUUCUGGGCUUAUGUGAUGUGUUACUGAACAGAAAGGUCACAGAGGGGUCCUCAGUGCUACCUGCAUGGUGGGAGGGGGUGCUAGAGAUCAUGGAGGAAGGGAAAGACAAGGAGUGUUUUCCCUUUUCAGUGGUGAGGAGUGGUUUCAUCAGCUCAUUCUGCUUAGUGUACCUUCACCCUCCAAAUUGGUUUAGUGAAAAAGGAAAGGGCUUUUUUUCGCUAGGUCAAUAAGAGUGAAGACAGAUAGAAGGGGAGCUCCUAGGGGGACUAUAGCCUGGGUGGCUCCCAACAGAAUGCUUACUGUGAUUAAACAGUCAUGAAGACAUUGUGUCGAUAUGAUAUUUAAUACUGUACUAAACCAGUAAGAAGUUUCAGAAAUUCUUCGAUCAGUUUAUCUUGAAAUUAUUUAUCUGGAGAUGCUCUAAUAAAGGCUUAUUACAACCAGGAA